rnacentral:rRNA from 1 species
AUACAGAGGGUGCGAGCGUUAAUCGGAAUUACUGGGCGUAAAGCGCGCGUAGGCGGCUACUUAAGUCAGAUGUGAAAUCCCCGGGCUCAACCUGGGAACUGCAUCUGAUACUGGGUAGCUAGAGUUUAGGAGAGGGAAGUAGAAUUUCAGGUGUAGCGGUGAAAUGCAUAGAGAUCUGAAGGAAUACCAGUGGCGAAGGCGACUUCCUGGCCUAAAACUGACGCUGAGGUGCGAAAGCGUGGGUAGCAAACGGGAUUAGAUACCCGUGUAGUCC